AAUGAACGCUGGCGGCAUGCCUAAUACAUGCAAGUCGAGCGAACGGACGAGAAGCUGUCUUUUCUGAUUUUGUCGGCGGACGGGUGAUUAACACGGGGAUAACCUACCUAUAAGACUGGGAUGACUUCGGGAAACCGGAUCUAAUACCGAAUAAUAUAUUGAACCGCGUUGUUCAAAAGUUAAAUACGGUCUUGCUGUCACUUAUAGAUGGAUCCGCGCUGCAUUAGCUAGUUGUUAAGGUAACGGCUUACCAAGGCAACGAUGCAUAGCCGACCUGAGAGGGUGAUCGGAUACACUGGAACUGAGACACGGUCCCGACACCUACGGGAGGAAGCAGUAGGGAAUCUUACGCAAUGGGCGAGAGCCUGACGGAGCAACGCCGCGUGAGUGAUGAAGGUCUUCGGACCGUAAAACUAUGUUAUUAGGGAAGAACAUAUGUGUAAGUACCUGUGCACAUAUUGACGGUACCUAAUCAGAAAGCCACGGCUAACUCCGUG
rnacentral:rRNA from 1 species